rnacentral:rRNA from 1 species
UGCGUAGGUGGUUCGUUAAGUCUGAUGUGAAAGCCCUGGGCUCAACCUGGGAAUUGCAUUGGAUACUGGCGGGCUAGAGUGCGGUAGAGGGUAGUGGAAUUCCCGGUGUAGCAGUGAAAUGCGUAGAUAUCGGGAGGAACAUCCGUGGCGAAGGCGACUGCCUGGACCAGCACUGACACUGAGGCACGAAAGCGUGGGGAGCAAACA